rnacentral:ncRNA from 1 species
UCAUGAUUUCGGUGCCUGUUUUACAUAUAAAACGGGCUGAAAAGGGAAUCAGGUGAAAAUCCUGGACAGUCCCGCUGCUGUAAACUCUUGUGGACGGUUUGAACUCUGAAUAAAACCACUGUCUUUUUGAGAUGGGAAGGUUGUUUAAACCGGGAGUGAGUCAGAAGACCUGCCGAAACC